AAUUGAUGGGGGCGGGACACCAAACGGUGGAGCAUGUGGUUUAAUUUGUAGCAACGCGCAGAACCUUCCCAGCUCUUGACAUUCGGGUUAAGGGCAUAGGAGAAGAUGUCCUUCAGUUUGGGUGGCCCCAGAACAGGUGCUGCAUGGCUGUCGUCAGCUCGUGUCGUGAGAUGUUGGGUUAAGUCCCGCAAGGAGCGCAACCCUCGCCCUUAGUUGCCAGCAUUUAGUUGGGCAUUUUAAGGGGACUGCCGGUGAUAAGCCGAGAGGAAGGUGGGGAUGAUGUAAAGUCCUCAUGCCCUUUACGGGGGGGGAUACACACGUGCUACAAGGGUGGUGACAGUGGGGAGAGAGAGAGCGGGGUAGAGAUUAUCUCCAAAAGCCAUUUCAGUUCGGAUUGCACUUUGCAAUUGGAGUGCAGGAAGUUGGAAUCGCUAGUAAUCGCGGAUCAGCAUGGGAAUACGUUCCCGGGCCUUGUACACACCGCCCGUCACACCAUGGGAGUUGGUUUUACCCGAAGGUAGUGCGCUAACCGCUAAGGUA
rnacentral:rRNA from 1 species